rnacentral:lncRNA from 1 species
GCUGGAGGGUGUGCCAGGACAUUGAACAUCAGAACAAGCACCCUUCAGGCAACUGAAUAUCAGAGAGAUAUUUCUUUUUUUGGGGGGGGGGGUUUCUCCGGUACUGGGAACCGAACUCACGACCUUGUGCUUGCCAGGCAGGCGCUUUUGCCGCUGAGCUAAAUCCCCAGCCCCAGAGAGAUAUUUCUUAAUGGUGGGUGGGAACACUUUGUACAGCCAUCCCAUGAACAAUUGCCUUGUGCACCAAGCUUUGGCAUUGCCCUGCACGUGACAGGCAGUCUGGCCUGGUACACAUUCUGUUCCUUCAACGCACAGGAGGUCUAGGAAUGGUCCACCAGUAGCAGCUUCAUCUUCAGUUGGGUGCUUGUUGUCGCACACAGUGAAAGGAUCAGUCUGUUCUUCCUGGGGCUGCGCCCCAGCAGUGCCUUUUCCUCUUGUGUUAUAUAGGUUGUCUUUGGUGUUUUCUUCCAGAAGAGUCCUGUUUCAUCAUAGUUGAGCACUUGUUGAGCAACGUUUCCUACUGCCUUUAUGAAUUUUGUGAAUUCUUCUGCAAGGACCUCGUCAGAUUUGGAAGCCUCAUCACAUCUUAUCACACUGUGGAUGCCACUUCUCUUGUGGAAUUUAUCAAACCACCCUCUACUGGCUUUGAAUUCAUCACUUGUUGGACUUGUAAAGGAAGGGCACAAAGGUCAGGCUUAAGUGUACCAAGAUUUUCUGAACUUGUGCAUUGCAAUGUAACAAACUGGAAAUUGCAUUUCUCCUGGUUUUUCAUUGAAUUACACAGUCAGUGAAAACUGCCAACUUGCUGAUUAUAUAUAUUAUUAAGUCCAAAAGGCAAAAGGCUUGUCUCGCAGAUAUUUCCAAUCUGUAACUUUCCCAAGCAUUUCUUCACUAUUCUUGAAUUUUUAAAGUCAUUUAAAGAUGAUACAAUUUGGUUUCGCCAAUCCAGAACUAAAAGCACUCAAUAUGCAAAUGGUAACUCUGCUUAGCCUGGAGCCACUGACACCAGCAAGGGCGGAAGUAAUGGACCACCUUGUCGUUGCACAAUGCAGGUGGAAAUCCAGCUUUCUACUAAGCGUCAGUGAUGUCAACCGUGGUUGGAGAGCUGAGUUCUGUGCAACUCACCUUACACUACUGCCCUCAGUGUCUUGGCACCUGAGGGUGAUGGAGCUCAGUGCCCCUUCCGGCCACAGGAGCAGCUGGACAGGAGAUUUAUUCCAAAACAGUGAUGGUAAGGAGGAAAAG